GAGGGUAUAGCUCAGUGGUAGAGUGCAUGCUUAGCAUGCAUGAGGUCCUGGGUUCAAUCCUCAGUACCUCCA
rnacentral:tRNA from 1 species